rnacentral:misc_RNA from 1 species
GUUUCUAUGAUUACUCUUUUUACAAAUAAUCCUUUAGAUGCGUUCAAUGGCACCAUUCAACAAAGUGUGAGAUGAAGGAAUACAUAGGAUCCGCCGCCACCCGGAGGUGGGUUUGGGUGCCUACAAGAUGUGCACAAGGGGUGUGAUGGAAAUUGUGAAUUGUUUCGAGGAGUGCACAAUGCCCCCCUUGAGAGGCCAGCAACAUCCCCAAAUCACUUCAGUAAUGAUCCUUCCGCAGGUUCACCUACGGAAA